AUUGAACGCUGGCGGUACGCCUAACACAUGCAAGUCGAACGGUAACAGAUGAGAAGCUUGCUUCUUUGCUGACGAGUGGCGGACGGGUGAGUAACGCGUGGGAAUCUACCCAGUAGUUGGGGAUAGCCCGGAGAAAUCCGGAUUAAUACCGAAUACGGUCUACGGACGAAAAGGUGCCUCUUCUUGAGAGCACUUGCUAUUGGAUGAGCCCGCGUUAGAUUAGUUUGUUGGUGGGGUAACGGCCUACCAAGACUGCGAUCUAUAGCUGGUUUGAGAGGAUGAUCAGCCACAUUGGGACUGAGACACGGCCCAG
rnacentral:rRNA from 1 species